rnacentral:misc_RNA from 1 species
UGCUCGACGUUUACAGAAGAAAAGAAGCUGCACAAGUGGCUGCUCUAAAAACAUCACACCCAAAUCAGUUCAAGUUGGGGAAUUCGAAUACAAAAACUGUAGUGAUCGAGAGUGUUCGUCUUUGAAAAUAAUCCACGAAAAUUAUUUGUAAUGCGGCGAUUUGAUUUCUAUUGUUUAAAAGAUUCAGAAGGAAAACAAUCGACAUGUCCUUUGCACCCUUUGCAUCGUGCGACCUGCCAACAGGAAAACUCUUUCUCAGGAAGUUGCUCUAUGUUCAACAUGUGGAUAAAGCAAAGGAUGUGACCACUGAAAUAUCCGAAUUAGACUUGAAAAUCAAUGUCUUGGACUAUAGCCUCAACUUUCGCGAUAAGGAUUUGGAAUUCCCGCUCAAUAAAAAACAGGUUUCCGGCCAGUCUAACCUGGACAUUUUGAAGGAUUCUCUACCAGACUUUAUCAACAACGUCUGGGUCUACUCCAAUCCUCUAUUUCAAAUAUUUCCAGUCGUUCCAGUCCGUUCUGGGUUGUUUCACGCCUACGUCGUUUUCACAACGAAUAAAAUACCCUCGUCGCCGUCCAGUGAAAUGUGGUGGUCGCUCGAGAAGAAUGGCAAGUACAUAAUUCUGCAACAAUCGCCCAAUAAAUCGGACAUCAUAGACACAACAUUCGAUGUCAACCAGGGAAAAAUUGGACCGCGACUUUUGCCAGUGGAAGAACUGGAAAGGGCAGAAGGCAACCACCGAUCCCUUGAAAAUUUAUUGGAAUCUCUACUGUUUAGCAGUCAACUGGACAUUCCUUAUCACCUUUUUAUCGCUAAUUGCCAGAGAUUCGCAUCCUACGUUUUCGAGAAAGCCAACGGCGAAAGGAAAAAAUGGACGUCGGGAACGAGUGGGUCAGUUCCAAAUGAAAAACAAACUCUCUUCGGUGUCAGUGCGGAUACAAUUAGAUACAAAUCCUUUCUACAAAAUGAACUGAUUCCAUUUUAUCACGCAAUUGUCGAGAAGGAAGAAAUGCCCGUAUUCAAGAGUAUUUUGGCAAACUACACCAGCGAAUCAAUAAAUAAGAUAGACUCUCAGGGCUACACUCUGCUCGAGUGGGCUGAAGCUUUUUCAAGGGAAGAUGUCAAAAAUUAUUUGAAAACAGAGAAAGGCGCUGUUCAAUCGGAAUUAUUCCACCGCAAUGUCUUCUUUAUAGCUCUACAAUAUUUAGAUUCACAAGACGAACUUAAUGAUCCCAAAUUAUCUUUCGACGGAAUUGACAUCACCAGCGUGAAUGGAACAGGUGACACGGCCCUGCAUUGUGCGAUAUACGGAGAGAAAUGGAAAUUAGCCAAGAAAAUUCUCGAAGAAAUGGAAAAAUUUGCAAUGCCAGUCGUUGACGCAAUCAAUCACAUGGGAGAGACGGCGCUUCAUCUGAUAACCAAAUUGAAUUGCCCAAUUGAAACGUUCAAAAAUAUCCUCGGAAAAAUCCCUCGAGAAAAAGUUGACAAGGCCGACAAAAACGGAUGCAACGCCUUUCAUUGGGCAACUAUAAUAUGCUCACCGAAGAAAAUGAAAUUACUAUUAAAGAAAGGGGCAGAUAUCGACGCCAAGACAGUAGACGGACACGCCGCCAUUCACUUGGCCUUACAGGGCGAGUUGAACAUGACAAGCAAACACCAAAUAGUAGAACAGCUGUUGAAGUACAAAGCAGGGAACACUACAGAUACGAUUGAUUGUACACCACUUCAUCGUGCCGUUAUGUGGAACGACAUUUCGCCCAAACUGUUUCAGAAAAUAUUGGACAGGUAUCGUGAUAAUGUUACGGCGCAAGACAACGAAGGGGACACACCUCUUAUGGUGGCAUUAUACAAUCAAUCGGAAACUAAAGUGAAGGAACUGCUGAAAUACUCACAAGUUAAUGUCAAGAAUAAAGCCGGUUGGACAGCGUUACACUAUGCUGCAAUGUGGCCAGACAUGCCAGUUGAUUUGUUCAAGGAAAUUCUUGACAAAUCAGACGAUGCAAAUGCACAGGACGACAAAAGAGAUACACCACUUCACUGGGCAUUACAAAACCAAUCGAAAGGUUCAGCUUAUCAACUUUUACAAUUAAAAAAUGUGGACGUUAAUAUAAAAAACAACGAUAAGGAAAUGGCGAUUCAUUUAGCAGCUAACUGGUGGGAAAUGAUUCCUGCCAAACUCUUUCGAUUAAUAAUGGAUAAGACCAAUGAUAUCAACGACGUAACCUAUAAUGGAAACACUGCACUCAUCAUGGCGUUGAUGAAAAGAUCUGAACUUAAAGUCAAGGAACUGCUAGAGCAUAAGAAAAAUGUGAACGGCACUUUUGUUGAGGUGAUAAACGUCAAUGUCAAGGGUAGCGAUGAUUUCACAGCGCUUCAUUGGGCCGCUCGGUGGCCAAAUAUUCCAAUCGACUUGUUUAAGACAAUCUUAACAAAGUCCACUGACAAAAUCGCCAAGGCGAAACACGGGAUCACCCCGCUUCACUGUGCUCUAGCGAAAAAAUCGGAAAAUGCAGUUCAAGAACUACUGAAACAAGAGGCUGUUGACGUCGUCAACGUCGGGAAUGACAAUCAUCGUACAGGGCUACACCUUGCUUCUAGGUGGCUGGACAUCCCAAAUGAUUUGUUUCAGUCAAUUUUAAAUAAAUCAACCAACAUCAACGCGCAAGACAAGGACGGCAAUACUGCUUUACACUUGGCGGUGCGAUUCAAAUCUACAAGUACAGCAAAGAAGCUACUAGAAAUAGUGGACGUUAACAUAAGGAAUAUUGGAAUGGGGUCGAUACUACAUUUUGCUGCUGUAUGGCCAGAAAUUCCGUUAGAUUUGUUCAGGGAAAUUCUGAACAAAACAGACAAUAUCAACAAUCAAGUCAAAGACGGGAGUACUGCUCUUCAAUGGGCAUUGAUGAACAAGUCAGAAACAGCAGUCCGAGAACUACUCAAUCAAAAUGUCGAUGUCAACAUCAAGAACAAUUAUCAACUUAUAGCAUUACAUUUUGCUGUUGCAUGGCCGGAAAUUCCAAUUGAUUUGUUCCAGAUGAUUCUACAAAAAACCGAGGACAUCAACGCGAAAGACAAAAAUGGGAAAACUGCCCUCGACUUGGCCUCAUACUAUAAAUCGCAAGAUUUAAUUCAAUUGCUAGAAGAAUUCGGUAAACUGUCACUCACAAGGUAAAAUAGAGGUGAAUGACCGACAGGAUAACGAGGUAAGCAAUCUGACACAUGCACCAAGAUGUGUACAAGUUUCCAAAUUUCAAACGGAUCGCGCAGAGGCAUUGUGUACCUACAAAUUGGGCUUUGACAUUGAUCAACAUGCCUGGCUAACUGGUGGUGAGCAGGAAGAGCGGACAAAGAAUGAUUGAAAGAUAAAGUUUCAACUGUACUUCAAUAACAAGAAGAAAGAAUAGAUUUACUGUGUAAA